rnacentral:lncRNA from 1 species
GUAUAAAAGUCUUUUGCUCAUUCUAAAUCUCCUUAAUAUUUUUCAAAAGAAAACUAGCUAUAAGACACCCAUACUCUCAUAUUCUCAAAAUCCAAGUACUUUGGCAUGUAAACAAGAUUCUAUGCCAAAGAAAAAAGAUAUCAAAUCUAGACUUCUAGUUAAACCUCUAUUGUGACCCUCUUGGAAAUUCAAAAAAAAAAAAAGAAUCUUUACUUUCAUAAUCCUUCUGAAAACAAACCAUAUAUAAAUAUGAAUAAGGAAAAAGAAAUUAUCCAAGA